CACGGAGCUUGCUCUGUGGGAUCAGUGGCGAACGGGUGAGUAACACGUGAGCAACCUGCCCCUGACUCUGGGAUAAGCGCUGGAAACGGCGUCUAAUACUGGAUAUGUGACGUGACCGCAUGGUCUGCGUCUGGAAAGAAUUUCGGUUGGGGAUGGGCUCGCGGCCUAUCAGCUUGUUGGUGAGGUAAUGGCUCACCAAGGCGUCGACGGGUAGCCGGCCUGAGAGGGUGACCGGCCACACUGGGACUGAGACACGGCCCAGACUCCUACGGGAGGCAGCAGUGGGGAAUAUUGCACAAUGGGCGCAAGCCUGAUGCAGCAACGCCGCGUGAGGGACGACGGCCUUCGGGUUGUAAACCUCUUUUAGCAGGGAAGAAGCGAAAGUGACGGUACCUGCAGAAAAAGCGCCGGCUAACUACGUGCCAGCAGCCGCGGUAAUACGUAGGGCGCAAGCGUUAUCCGGAAUUAUUGGGCGUAAAGAGCUCGUAGGCGGUUUGUCGCGUCUGCUGUGAAAUCCGGAGGCUCAACCUCCGGCCUGCAGUGGGUACGGGCAGACUAGAGUGCGGUAGGGGAGAUUGGAAUUCCUGGUGUAGCGGUGGAAUGCGCAGAUAUCAGGAGGAACACCGAUGGCGAAGGCAGAUCUCUGGGCCGUAACUGACGCUGAGGAGCGAAAGGGUGGGGAGCAAACAGGCUUAGAUACCCUGGUAGCCCACCCCGUAAACGUUGGGAACUAGUUGUGGGGUCCAUUCCACGGAUUCCGUGACGCAGCUAACGCAUUAAGUUCCCCGCCUGGGGAGUACGGCCGCAAGGCUAAAA
rnacentral:rRNA from 1 species